GACGAACGCUGGCGGCGUGCCUAAUACAUGCAAGUUGAGCGCUGAAGGUUGGUACUUGUACCAACUGGAUGAGCAGCGAACGGGUGAGUAACGCGUGGGGAAUCUGCCUUUGAGCGGGGGACAACAUUUGGAAACGAAUGCUAAUACCGCAUAAAAACUUUAAACACAAGUUUUAAGUUUGAAAGAUGCAAUUGCAUCACUCAAAGAUGAUCCCGCGUUGUAUUAGCUAGUUGGUGAGGUAAAGGCUCACCAAGGCGAUGAUACAUAGCCGACCUGAGAGGGUGAUCGGCCACAUUGGGACUGAGACACGGCCCAAACUCCUACGGGAGGCAGCAGUAGGGAAUCUUCGGCAAUGGACGAAAGUCUGACCGAGCAACGCCGCGUGAGUGAAGAAGGUUUUCGGAUCGUAAAACUCUGUUGGUAGAGAAGAACGUUGGUAAGAGUGGAAAGCUCAUCAAGUGACGGUAACUACCCAGAAAGGGACGGCUAACUACGUG
rnacentral:rRNA from 1 species